rnacentral:rRNA from 1 species
CAGGCUCCCUCAUGCAAGUCGAGCGGGGAGAUGUAGCUUGCUACUUUUCCUAGCGGCGGACGGGUGAGUAAUGCUUAGGAAUCUGCCUAUUAGGGGGGGACAACAUUCCAAAAGGAAUGCUAAUACCGCAUACCCCCUACGGGGGAAAGCAGGGGAUCUUCGGACCUUGCGCUAAUAAAUGAGCCUAAGUCAAAUUAGCUAGUUGGGGGGGUAAAGGCCUACCAAGGCAACAAUCUGUAGCGGGUCUGAAAGGAUGAUCCGCCACACUGGGACUGAAACACGGCCCAAACUCCUACGGGAGGCAGCAGUGGGGAAUAUUGGACAAUGGGCGAAAGCCUGAUCCAGCCAUGCCGCGUGUGUGAAGAAGGCCUUUUGGUUGUAAAGCACUUUAAGCGAGGAGGAGGCUACUUAAAUUAAUACUCUAGGAUAGUGGACGUUACUCGCAAAAUAAGCACCGGCUAACUCUGUG